ensembl:miRNA Mir200a microRNA mir-200a
CUGGGCCUCUGUGGGCAUCUUACCGGACAGUGCUGGAUUUCUUGACUUGACUCUAACACUGUCUGGUAACGAUGUUCAAAGGUGACCCAC